rnacentral:misc_RNA from 1 species
GUCAAUUCAUUUGAGUUUCACACUUGCGUGCGUACUCCCCAGGCGGGAUACUUAACGCGUUAGCUACGGCACUGCCCGGGUCGAUACGGGCAACACCUAGUAUCCAUCGUUUACGGCUAGGACUACAGGGGUAUCUAAUCCCUUUCGCUCCCCUAGCUUUCGUCCCUCAGUGUCAGUUUAAGUCCAGUAGAGCGCUUUCGCCACCGGUGUUCUUCCCAAUCUCUACGCAUUUCACCGCUACACUGGGAAUUCCCUCUACCCCUACUUGACUCUAGUCGUGUAGUUUCCAUGGCCUUUAUGGGGUUGAGCCCCACGCUUUAACCACAGACUUACAUGACCACCUACGGACGCUUUACGCCCAAUCAUUCCGGAUAACGCUUGCAUCCUCCGUAUUACCGCG